AGCCCAGACCGCCAGCUAAGGUCCCUAAUUAUGUCUAAGUGGGAAAGGAGGUGGAUAUUCACAGACAACCAGGAGGUUGGCUUAGAAGCAGCCAUGCCUUGAAAGAGUGCGUAACAGCUCACUGGUCGAGAGUAUCUGCGCCGAAGAUGUAACGGGGCUAAGACAUAAACCGAAGCUGCGGAGGCGUGUUUUCACGCCUGGUAGGAGAGCGUUCUGUAGGCCGUCGAAGGUAAGCUGUAAGGCUUUCUGGAGGCAUCAGAAGUGAGAAUGCAGGAAUGAGUAGCGAGAAGGCGGGCGAGAAUCCCGCCGGCCGGAAGUCCAAGGUUUCCAGGGGAAGGCUUGUCCGCCCUGGGGAAGUCGGGACCUAAGCAUAAGCAAAAUUGUGAUGGCGAAUGGAAAACAGGUUAAUAUUCCUGUACCACUAUUAUCGCUUGAGAGACGGAGUGACGCAGGAAGGUAUGUGAGAAGACUGACGGAAUAGUCUUUCUAAGGGCGUAGCAUGGACACGCAGGUAAAUCCGCGUGUCUAAAUGUGAGACCUGAUGGGCAAGUGCAUUAGCAUAAGUCACAGAUCCUACACUGCCAAGAAAAACUUCUAUCGAUGAAAAAUAGUGCCCGUACUGUAAACCGACACAGGUGGACAGAGUGAGAAACUUAAGGCCGACAGGAUAACUCUAGCUAAGGAACUCUGCAAAAUAGCCCCGUAACUUCGGGAGAAGGGGUGCCUGAUAUACCUGAAAGGAGAAACACCUCAAGGGGAAACAGGCCGCAGUGAAGAGUCCCAAGCAACUGUUUACCAAAAACACAGGUCUAUGCUAAGCUGAAAGGCGACGUAUAUGGGCUGACACCUGCCCAGUGCCGGAAGGUUAAGAGGAGGAGUGAGAGCUCCGAUUUGAAGCCCCGGUGAACGGCGGCCGUAACUAUAACGGUCCUAAGGUAGCGAAAUUCCUUGUCGGGUAAGUUCCGACCUGCACGAAUGGUGAAAUGAUUUGGGAGCUGUCUUGGCUGGAGACCUGGUGAAGUUGUAAUGUCGGUGAAGAUACCGACUACCUGCAGUAGGACGGAAAGACCCCGUGGAGCUUUACUGUAGUUUGGCAUUGGGUUUUGGCUGUGUGUGUAUAGGAUAGUUGGGAGACUGUGAAGUUAAGGCGUCAGUUUUAACUGAGUCGUCGUUGGAAUACCAACCAUAUGCCGUUGAAAUUCUAAUCUGGUAACGGAGACAGUGCUAGAUGGGCAGUUUGACUGGGGCGGUCGCCUCCAAAAGAGUAACGGAGGCGUUCAAAGGUUCCCUCAGGCUGGAUGGAAAUCAGCCUAAGAGUGCAAACGCAUAAGGGAGCUUGACUGCAAGACUGACGGGUCGAGCAGGUACGAAAGUAGGAGUUAGUGAUCCGGCGGUUCCGUAUGGAAGGACCGUCGCUCAACGGAUAAAAGCUACCCCGGGGAUAACAGGCUGAUACUUCCCAAGAGUCCAUAUCGACGGAAGUGUUUGGCACCUCGAUGUCGGCUCGUCUCAUCCUGGGGCUGGAGAAGGUCCCAAGGGUUGGGCUGUUCGCCCAUUAAAGAGGCACGCGAGCUGGGUUCAGAACGUCGUGAGACAGUUCGGUCCCUAUCCACUGCAGGCGCUUGAAUAUUGAAAAGAUCUGACCUUAGUACGAGAGGACCGGGUUGGACAGACCUCUGAUGUAUCAGUUGUCACGCCAGUGGCAUGGCUGAGUAGUCACGUCUGGUACGGAUAACCGCUGAAAGCAUCUAAGCGGGAAGCCGACUUUGAGAUGAAUAUUCGUAGUAUCCAUAGAGAACAUAUGGUUGAUAGGCUAGGGGUGCAAGUGCAGCAAUGCAUUUAGCUGACUAGUACUAAUAUUACGUCUGCUUUUAAGAU
rnacentral:rRNA from 1 species